rnacentral:rRNA from 1 species
UACGUAGGGGGCAAGCGUUGUCCGGAAUCAUUGGGCGUAAAGAGCGUGUAGGCGGUCCGGUAAGUCGGCUGUGAAAGUCCAGGGCUCAACCCUGGGAUGCCGGGUCGAUACUGCCGGACUAGAGUUCGGAAGAGGCGAGUGGAAUUCCCGGUGUAGCGGUGAAAUGCGCAGAUAUCAGGAGGAACACCGGUGGCGAAGGCGGGUCUCUGGGGCCCGAUACUGACGCUGGAGGAGCGAAAGCGUCGGGGAGCGAACAGG